rnacentral:lncRNA from 1 species
UGAGCAGCUGUGCUCCACCCACAAACCAGCUUCACCAAGAGAUCACUAGAGAACUCCUCCCCUGUCUGAGCACCAAGAUGACAGCUGCAGAGGCUUCAGUGGAAAUGUUAAAGACAGACUUUAGAUUCACAGAUGGCCUGGAGAAAGCAGGACCUGGUAAAGUAAAAAAUGAAAUUUGAAAAAUACUAAAGGGGAUAUUUUUACUCUCCAGCCUCCAAAUCACAAAGGGAGCUAAAUUUCAGUCUUGUGAAAUGUCAGGCCCAGGAAGACAAACUCUGGAAGACUUGGAACAUAUGUGUAAUAUCAUGGAAGUUUUGUAUUUUAAAAAUAAUAGACCUUAAACUCUUUAGAUUGCAACCAAAGAAAAUGGAUCAUACAGGGACCAGCUAGAAAAAAAAUAGAUCAAAUAUUAUUUUCUUGGAUUUGAAGAGAAUUUUUAAACACAAUGCAAAACCCAGAAGUCAUAAUCAACUCCAUUCCUAUCAAAUUUGAAUGAGUUGCUUUAAAUUAAUUUGAGGACUAUGUGUGUGGGGGGAUGGUGGGGCAAAUAAGAAAUGCAUAUGAAACAAAUUGCUUAUAUGUUGAUAAUUUUGAAAAUUGGUGAAAAGUUAAUAGUUAUAUAGGAACUUAUUAUAUUGUUUUCUUUUUGUAUAUGCUUGAGAUUUUUUUCAAUGUCAAAAAAGUAAGUAAAAAAAAACCAAGAAGAGAUACAUUAUAAGGAAAAGGAGAUGAGAAAGGAGGGCCUUUUUGAAGACUCGUCAGAGGGGCAAGUUGGAGCUUUAUUGAAAUUCAAGGAGAAAUUUAUAUAUUAGCCCAAUGACAAUAAAAAAUAAAUAAAAAUUAGGAUGCAUUGAGUUGUUAAGAUACUUUUACUAUACAACUAAAAAUAAUGAGUUGAGAUGUUUAUGUCAAGCUAAAAUCCAAAUGACAAAACACUGUGCUUAAAAUCAGAUAAUCCUACAUAUCUUUGUCCUUGUGUAUGCUUUAAGCUGAGGCUCCCUGGUUUAUUUGGAGAUGUAUGCAGAAUGAGUAUAAUGUAAUAGAGAAAUGGAACUCAUCAGAAACUUUUCUAAAAGCAUAACUUAUAUUCAAUAAAACUAACUUUUUUGGUGUUUGAAUUUUGAGUUUUGACAAACACAUAUAAUCAUGAAGUCACGGUCACAAUCAAGGUAAAGAUCCACAACCCACUCCCAAUCCCCUCAGGCCCCUUUAUAGACAUUCUCCUCCUCUGCUCCAAGCCCUUGCCAACUGCUGGUCUGUUUUCUGUUUGCUUUUCCAGAAUGUUACAUAAAUAGAAUCCUGCAGUAGAGUCUGUAGUAAUGCAUUUGAGAUUAAUCCACACUAUGGUACGGAUGGAUAGUUUGUCAUCUACAAACAAAUUUGGAUUUAGAAAAGGAGGGACUUUAUUCAAAAGGACCAAUGAUAUAGGAAUAAUGCACUUAUUUCAAAAUAUGCAGUGUCUCAAAAAUCAAACAGGAAGAGGCCUUGGUUUUAUAAAAGAGGUUAAAAAUUGUUAUCAAAAAAUAUGUGUGUGAGAGAGCCUGAGAUGAAAGAGAGAAGCUUUGUGGUUAAGAUCAUUCAAGUGAGGUAUAAAGGACUUUUGCACAUUGCAGCCUUUUUAAUCUUUUGAACAAGUCUGACUUUAGGAGCCCCUGGGAAAGACACUUGAAAUUUGGCAUAGAUUUGGUCAAGUCUGUAUAAGGUUUUAAUAAAGUGUUUUUUUUUUUUCCUUUGCUUUGCUUUUUCUUACUGCCCCAGUUUAAUUUUAACUUUUCCUCAUCCUCCCACCCCAUAAAUCCUGGUGGUAUUUUUUUUAUCUCUCCCCAGCUAAAGAAUAUUUGAAUUGUUGCAAAUUUUUCAGUUUUUCAUAAUUAUCAAUAAAACUGAAAAAAAAAGUUUAUGUAUAGGUUUUUGUGUAAAGUCAAGUUUUUUCCCCAAGUGUAGAAUACCUAGGGGCAAGCUGCACAGGGCAUAUGACAAAUAUAUGUUUUUUGGCCUUUCCAAACACAAUAGAAGGACAUUCCAUUUGCAUCUUUUCUUCACCAACACUUGCUGUUGUGACUUUGUUUAAUUUUGUUUGCUACUCUGAGAAUCAUAUGGUGACUACCCAUUGUGUUUUAAUUUGUAUUUCUCAAAAGUCUGUUAACAUCAAGCAUUAUUUUAUGUGUUUAUUUACCACUAUGGUAUUGUCUUUAUUCUUGUUACUUUGUAAGUCAUGAAAUCUAGAACUCUGAUUUCUCCAAAUUUGAUCUUUUUUUCCAAAAUCAUUUGGCUAUUGUGGUUCUUUUACCUUAUCACAUAAUUAAAAAGUGACCUUCUUGAUUUCUACAAAAAAUAAAAUAAAGUAAAUCAUGCUGAAGUGUUUACUGGAAUUGCACUGGAUUUAUAAACCUGUUUGGAAAUAGUGUGAAUAUUCCAUCCAUGAGUUGAACAUUCCAAUGUAUGAACAUCUUUUGUUUCUCUAUUGUUUAGAUCUUCUUUGAGCUGUUUAUUGUUCUUGCAUGUAGUUUUCAUUAUACUGAUUAUGAACAUAUUUUGAUAGCUUUACAGUUAAGUAUUUUAUCCUGAUAUUACUACAAAUGGUACUGAAUUUGUAUUUUAAUUUGCAUUUGAUAAUUGCUAGUAUAUGAAAAUAGAAAUGAUUUUUAAUGAUUAGUAUUGUAUCUUACAGUUUUGCCAAAACUCAUUUAUUACAUCUACUAGAAUUUUGCUCGAUUCUUUGACAUCAUCAUCACAGAUCAGGCUGAAUGGGUACAGCUGGAGGGAUUAAAAUGCUGCUCUUGCAGAGGGCCAUGCUGAGCACCAUCAACCAGACACCAGUGAUCCUGCAGGUGCAGGACCUGAUGACCUCCCAGGUGCAGAUGGGCGGCCACCCUACUGAGGUCCUGUGCCUCAUGAAGUGGUGCUGCCAGAGGUGCGCCUGGUGGAUGAGGAGUACAGGAGAUGGUGGGGGACCUGCGGGGUGAGUGCAGCAAGUACAGCUCCUCAAGUCCACCUGGAUACAGAUGGUAUCCAGGUGCCUGACUGCAGCAAGAUCCUUGUGGAGCUCACCUCUGUGUGACUACCAGAAAUCCAUGCAGGACCUUUGCAAAUUCGCCAACAACCAGGUUGUCACAAAAUAUUGUGAUCUUGACUCUUAACCAUGGGUGAGACUUAUGGUAGGGUAGGGGCAGAGCUGGCUGGAGGUUUGUCUCUUCACCUGUCCCCCUCUCCCUCCCCCUCUGAAGAUGAUGGGCAGAGGAGUGAGAACAAAAUGAC